rnacentral:rRNA from 1 species
AGCGGCGGACGGGUGAGUAACGCGUGGGUAACCUGCCUCAUACAGGGGGAUAACAGUUAGAAAUGACUGCUAAUACCGCAUAAGACCACAGCACCGCAUGGUGCGGGGGUAAAAACUCCGGUGGUAUAAGAUGGACCCGCGUCUGAUUAGCUAGUUGGUAAGGUAACGGCUUACCAAGGCGACGAUCAGUAGCCGACCUGAGAGGGUGACCGGCCACAUUGGGACUGAGACACGGCCCAA